rnacentral:rRNA from 1 species
GACGAACGCUGGCGGCGUGCCUAAUGCAUGCAAGUCGAACGCAUUCUUCGGAAUGAGUGGCGCACGGCUGAGGAACACGUGACUAACCCACCCCGGUGUGGGGGAUAACGGGUCGAAAGACUCGCUAAUCCCGCAUACGAUAUCCUUUGGAUAGGAAAGCCGCAAGGCGCACUGGGCGGGGGUCGCGUCCCAUUAGAUCGUUGGUGUGGUAACGGCGCACCAAGUCGAUGAUGGGUCUCUGGUCUGAGAGGACGACCAGACAGAUUGGGACUGAGACACGGCCCAAACUCCUACGGGGGGCAGCAGCAAGGAAUUUUCGGCAAUGGGCGGAAGCCUGACCGAGCAACGCCGCGUGGAGGAUGACGGCUCUUGGGUUGUAAACUCCUUUUGGGGGGGACGAUAAUGACGGUACCCUCCGAAUCAGGCCCGGCUAACUACGUGCCAGCCGCCGCCGUAACAC